AGAAAACUUAAAUUACCCAACCCAAACCAAAAAGAAAAACUCGUCAAAACGAUUUUCAGCCCUAGUUUUUCCUUCUAUGCUCGACUCUGCCUCUGAUUUUUGAACAGUGAUUCAAAAUGCCACAAGCAAAAGGCGAAAGAAAAUGGGGAAAUACAAUCAAUACAGCAUAAGUCUUAAGCCCUCCAACAUGAGGCCGCUUGGGCUGCCAAACGAAAUUUCAAUUUUGGUGACUAUUCAGUGAGAUCACUGAAGGAGGAACUGCAGCUUCUUCAGGAGCCUGGAUCAUAUGUUGGGGAAGUAGUCAAAGUUAUGGGAAAAUCAAAGGUCCUUGUCAAGGUAUAUAGGAAGUACUCAAUCCCUUUCUGUCUAUUACCCUUGGUCUGUCUUUAUCAUGAUUCAAAAGAAAAUCAACUUUAUAUAUUCCUGGUUUGCAGAUUCGAAACUUGCUAUCAGAUUGCUUUGGCCAUAAAGGACAGAAAGGACAGAAUGGAGGAUCUUCAGAAGGCAGGCAUUACUGUUAUUUGAAACCUGUUACCAUUACUUUUUUUUUUUUUUUAUCUUUUUUGGGAAAUCUAUUGGUUUUUAGGGGUUUCAGAAUUUUGGAUCUAAAUUUUGUAUGCAUAUUUUGGUACAUUUUGUAGUACAAUUAUUAAUGACUAUUGGAGUUGUUU